UUACUACUUGGAUAACCGUGGUAAUUCUAGAGCUAAUACAUGCUAAAAACCCCGACUUCGGAAGGGGUGUAUUUAUUAGAUACAAAACCAAUGCCCUUCGGGGCUCUUUGGUGAUUCAUGAUAACUAUACGAAUCGCACGGCCUUGCGCCGGCGAUGGUUCAUUCAAAUUUCUUCCCUAUCAACUUUCGAUGUUUGGGUCUUGGCCAAACAUGGUUGCAACGGGUAACGGAGGGUUAGGGCUCGACCCCGGAGAAGGAGCCUGAGAAACGGCUACUACAUCCAAGGAAGGCAGCAGGCGCGCAAAUUACCCAAUCCCGACUCGGGGAGGUAGUGACAAUAAAUACUGAUACAGGGCCCUUUCGGGCCUUGUAAUUGGAAUGAGUACAAUUUAAAUCCCUUAACGAGGAACAAUUGGAGGGCAAGUCUGGUGCCAGCAGCCGCGGUAAUUCCAGCUCCAAUAGCGUAUAUUAAAGUUGUUGUGGUUAAAAAGCUCGUAGUUGAACCUUGGGCCUGGCUGGCCGGUCCGCCUCACCGCGUGCACUGGUCCGGCCGGGCCUUUCCCUCUGUGGAACCCCAUACCCUUCACUGGGCGUGGCGGGGAAACAGGACAUUUACUUUGAAAAAAUUAGAGUGCUCCAGGCAGGCCUAUGCUCGAAUACAUUAGCAUGGAAUAAUAAAAUAGGACGCGCGGUUCUAUUUUGUUGGUUUAUAGGACCGCCGUAAUGAUUAAUAGGGACAGUCGGGGGCAUCAGUAUUCAAAUGUCAGAGGUGAAAUUCUUGGAUCAUUUGAAGACUAACUACUGCGAAAGCAUUUGCCAAGGAUGUUUUCAUUAAUCAGGAACGAAAGUUAGGGGAUCGAAGACGAUCAGAUACCGUCGUAGUCUUAACCAUAAACUAUGCCGACUAGGGAUCGGACGGUGUUAUUCAUGACCCGUUCGGCACCUUACGAGAAAUCAAAGUGCUUGGGCUCCAGGGGGAGUAUGGUCGCAAGGCUGAAACUUAAAGAAAUUGACGGAAGGGCACCACCAGGGGUGGAGCCUGCGGCUUAAUUUGACUCAACACGGGGAAACUCACCAGGUCCAGACACAAUAAGGAUUGACAGAUUGAGAGCUCUUUCUUGAUUUUGUGGGUGGUGGUGCAUGGCCGUUCUUAGUUGGUGGGGUGACUUGUCUGCUUAAUUGCGAUAACGAACGAGACCUUAACCUGCUAAAUAGCCCGCAUUGCUCCGGCAGUGCGCUGGCUCUAGAGGACUUCGCUCAAGCC
rnacentral:rRNA from 1 species